rnacentral:rRNA from 1 species
UACGUAGGGGGCAAGCGUUGUCCGGAAUCAUUGGGCGUAAAGCGCUUGUAGGCGGCUGACUAAGUCCGCUCUGAAAGCCCGGGGCUCAACCCCGGGAGGCGGGUGGAUACUGGUCAGCUCGAGUCCGGAAGAGGAGUGUGGAAUUCCUGGUGUAGCGGUGAAAUGCGCAGAUAUCAGGAGGAACACCAAUGGCGAAGGCAGCACUCUGGGACGGUACUGACGCUGAGACGCGAAAGCUGGGGGAGCGAACGGG